rnacentral:rRNA from 1 species
AGCGAACGCUGGCGGCAGGCCUAACACACGCAAGUCGAACGGAUCCUUCGGGAUUAGUGGCGGACGGGUGAGUAACACGUGGGAACGUGCCCUUUGGUUCGGAACAACUCAGGGAAACUUGAGCUAAUACCGGAUGUGCCCUUCGGGGGAAAGAUUUAUCGCCAUUGGAGCGGCCCGCGUCUGAUUAGCUAGUUGGUGGGGUAAGGGCCCACCAAGGCGACGAUCAGUAGCUGGUCUGAGAGGAUGAUCAGCCACAUUGGGACUGAGACACGGCCCAAACUCCUACGGGAGGCAGCAGUGGGGAGUCUUGCGCAAUGGGCGAAAGCCUGACGCAGCCAUGCCGCGUGAAUGAUGAAGGUCUUAGGAUUGUAAAAUUCUUUCACCGGGGACGAUAAUGACGGUACCCGGAGAAGAAGCCCCGGCUAACUUCGUGCCAGCCGCCGCAGUAAGAC